CCUACGGGGAGCAGCAGUCGAGAAUCAUUCACAAUGGGGGAAACCCUGAUGGUGCGACGCCGCGUGGGGGAAUGAAGGUCUUCGGAUUGUAAACCCCUUUCAUGUGGGAGCAAAUGAAAAAGAUAGUACCACAAGAGGAAGAGACGGCUAACUCUGUGCGAGCAGCCGCGGUAAUACAGAGGUCUCAAGCGUGUUUCGGAAUCACUGGCCGUAAAGCGUGCGUAGGCGGUUUCGUAAGUCGUGUGUGAAAGGCGUGGGCGCAACCCGCGGACGGCGUAUGAUACUGCGAGACUAGAGUAAUGAAGGGGGAACUGGAAUUCUCGGUGUAGCAGUGAAAUGCGUAGAUAUCGAGAGGAACACUCGUGGCGAAGGCGGGUUUCUGGACAUUAACUGACGCUGAGGCACGAAGGCCAGGGGAGCGAAAGGGAUUAGAUACCCCUGUAGUC
rnacentral:rRNA from 1 species